rnacentral:rRNA from 1 species
GGGCCCGCACAAGCGGUGGAGUAUGUGGUUUAAUUCGAUGCAACGCGAAGAACCUUACCAGGGCUUGACAUCCUGCGAAUCUCUGGGAAACCGGAGAGUGCCUUCGGGAACGCAGUGACAGGUGGUGCAUGGCUGUCGUCAGCUCAUGUCGUGAGAUGUUGGGUUAAGUCCCGCAACGAGCGCAACCCACGUCUUUAGUUGCCAGCAUUUAGUUGGGCACUCUAGAGAGACUGCCGGUGAUAAACCGGAGAAGGUGUGGAUGACGUCAAGUCAUCAUGCCCCUUACAUCUGGGCUACACACGUACUACAAUGCUACGGACAAAGGGCUGCAAGUUCGCGAGGACAAGCAAAUCCCAUAAACGUGGCUC